UAUGUAGGGGACUAGCGUUAUCCGGAAUUACUGGGCGUAAAGGGUGCGUAGGUGGUUUCUUAAGUCAGAGGUGAAAGGCUACGGCUCAACCGUAGUAAGCCUUUGAAACUGGGAAACUUGAGUGCAGGAGAGGAGAGUGGAAUUCCUAGUGUAGCGGUGAAAUGCGUAGAUAUUAGGAGGAACACCAGUUGCGAAGGCGGCUCUCUUGACUGUAACUGACACUGAGGCACGAAAGCGUGGGGAGCAAACAGGAUUAGAUACCCUGGUAGUCCCUGA
rnacentral:rRNA from 1 species